rnacentral:rRNA from 1 species
AUCUUCCGCAAUGGGCGAAAGCCUGACGGAGCAACGCCGCGUGAGUGAUGAAGGGUUUCGGCUCGUAAAACUCUGUUAUUAGGGAAGAACAAAUGUGUAAGUAACUGCGCACAUCUCGACGGUACCCAACCAGAAAGCCACGGCUAACUACGCGCCAGCAGCCGCGGUAAUACGUAGGUGGCAAGCGUUAUCCGGAAUUAUUGGGCGUAAAGCGCGCGUAGGCGGUUUCUUAAGUCUGAUGUGAAAGCCCACGGCUCAACCGUGGAGGGUCAUUGGAAACUAGGAAACUUGAGUACAGAAGAGGAAAGUGGAAUUCCAUGUGUAGCGGUGAAAUGCGCAGAGAUAUGGAGGAACACCAGUGGCGAAGGCGACUUUCUGGUCUGUAACUGACGCUGAUGUGCGAAGGCGUGGGGAUCAAACA